UGUAUUCACUACUGUAAGUCGCUCUGGAUAAGAGCGUCUGCUAAAUGGCUUAAA
rfam:Salmo salar isolate Sally breed double haploid chromosome ssa26, whole genome shotgun sequence.